AAAAAAGAAAAAAGAAAGAGAAAAUAUAAAAAUGUAUGAUGUACUAUGUUGACAAAGUACUAUUAUUUCAAGCACUAAAAUACUUUUACUAUGUAUUUAAGUUGAUCAGGUGUAGUCAACGAGGCUAUGUUAAAAAAAUUCGGGUUAAACAUGAAAAUCGUCCUUGAACUUUAAGUGAGAUUUGAUUUUCAUCUCUCGUCGGAAAAUCUUCUUAGAGACGCCCUUAUGUGGACAUGGCACAAAACUGCCAACUGGGCACGGUGGCCGGAGGUAAAUCGGCGGCAAUGACGGUUUCCAUACAAAAAUGGUAGUUUAAGGGCGUCUCUAUGAAGAUUUUCUGGCGAUGGACGAAAAUCAAAUCUCCCUUAAAGUUCAGAGACGAUUUUCAGGUUUAACAGUGUUUUUAUCACUUCUCCUUAUGUAACUAAAACCACAGUUGCCUUCACUCACCGCAACCAGGGACAGUGCAUUUUCUCACUCUGAAAGGUCACUUCUUCGUACUCACCUUAGCUUCAUCAUGUGGAAAGAGAAGAGCCCUGGCUUGAAGAUCCUAUGGAUUUGGACCUUUGGAACCGCUGCCAUACUCAUUACCAAUGUGAUGCGCAACAGAAUAAGCGACCUCAAAACUCGCAUGGACACUGAACAGCAACCACAACAACAGCACCAGCAGCAGCAUGAUACUAUCACAACUGAUUCACCUCAAUUGGGUACAUUCAAUUUCCCAUCUGAUCAGAUUAUUCCAGAGGAUAAAAGCUGAUGAUUUGUAUUGAUUUUUGAUUUUGAAGUUUUCAUUACUCUCUUAGACCCGUGGAGGAUAAUAGUGCGUGUAAUCUGUUUGAUAAAUGUCCUGACUGAAAACCCAUGACAUGUUGGUGAAAAUUUUGUGCUUUAGCUAUGGGACCUAUAUUUAUGACUA